UUCACUGUUUGACUAAUCUGACCACUCUUCACUACGAAUCAAAUUUCUCAUUAUAAAGAAUUCGAAAUAUGUUAUCAUUUAUUUCAUUUGAAACUAGACUCAUUAGGGAGUCUAAGAAUAUAAAUUUUAUCUUAUAACCAUUUUUUUACCAUUUAUAAUGAUUUUCUGAAAACAGAACAGGGGACCUCGAAGUCAUUUUGACUCUGUUCCACGCCACUUCAAAUAUCUCAUUAUUGGCAACUCUUUUGCUUACACGGUUUCUUUUAUAAAAACUAGACUCAUUAAGAUUUCAUGACAUAAUUUAUUCAG
rnacentral:lncRNA from 1 species